GGCCCCUUAGCUCAGUUGGUUAGAGCGUCGUGCUAAUAACGCGAAGGUCGUGGGUUCGAUCCCCCCAGGGGCCA
rnacentral:tRNA from 1 species